CGACUCCCGCCGUCGUCGCUGUCGUUCCGGUGGAAGACGAAGAAGUACCGUCUGUGGCGAGUCCCGGAGCAGGUGCGCGCCAUCAACAAGGAGGAGGCGUACGCGCCCAAAUUCGUGUCCGUCGGCCCGUACCAUCGUCGUCACGCCGGCGCCGGCGAUCGCAACCGCCUCCGCGGCGAGAAGCUCAAGAGGCGCUACCUCCACGAGCUCCUCAGGGACCUAAGGUGA
rnacentral:lncRNA from 1 species